GGAAGGAUCAUUACUAAAUGUUUUCCAACCUCCACGUUUUGUGAACUGUUAUCAAUGUCAUGGCGAGAUGCGCCUAGGCCUGUCCCUCGGGGCUUCCUGGACGCGCUCGCCGUGUUUUGUCUACGUAUAUCUAUUUUAAGCUCUGAGACUUUAAUUUUAAAAUUAAAGACAACUUUUAGCAACGGAUCUCUUGGCUCUCGCAACGAUGAAGAACGCAGCGAAUUGCGAUAAGUAAUGUGAAUUGCAGAAUACCGUGAAUCAUCAAAUCUUUGAACGCACAUUGCACUGUCUGGAAUUCCGGCAGUAUGCCUGUUUGAGUAUCAGUUCCCUCUCACUCACACCUUUUCGGAGGUGCGUGCUGGACUUGAGCCUUGAUGUCCGCAAGGGCAUCUGGCUUGGAAUUGAGUAGGUACCGCGUCAAGUGUACUGACAGAGCUAGUCUCUAGUUUUCUAGAGUUUUCUGUCUGGUCUCUUGGUGUCGGCCUAACAAAACACUAACUUGUUGGCGCGUAAGCGUCUCCAGAUUAUUGAUCUCAAAUCAGGCAAGAUUACCCGCUGAACUUAAGCAUAUUAAUAAGCGGAGGAAAAGAAACUAACAAGGAUUCCCCCAGUAACGGCGAGUGAAGCGGGACCAGCUCAAAUUUAAAAUCUCCUCGGAGAAUUGUAGUUUAAAGAAGUGUUUUCGAUGGCAGCCCAGGUAAAAGUCCCUUGGAACAGGGCGUCAUAGAGGGUGAGAAUCCCGUACAUGAUCUGGGUCCUGUCACGCUGUGAUACACUUUCAAAGAGUCGGGUUGUUUGGGAAUGCAGCCCAAAGCGGGUGGUAUAUUCCAUCUAAGGCUAAAUAUUGGCGAGAGACCGAUAGCGAACAAGUACCGUGAGGGAAAGAUGAAAAGAACUUUGAAAAGAGAGUUAAAUAGUACAGUGAAAUUGCUAAAAGGGAAACGAUUGAAAUCAGUGUUACGGCUGGGAAAUCAGUCGCCAGAAUCUGGCGGUGCACUUUCCUAGUCGUAGGUCAACAUCAGUUUGGAGACCUGGAAAAAUUCUCGGGAAGGUAGCUGGCUUGCCAGUGUUAUAGCCCGAGAGCAUACAGGGAUCUGGACUGAGGAUCGCCAGCGCUUCUUUGGGGCUUCUAGUAUUCUGUGGUUUUGAAUGCUUGGACUGCUUGCAGACCAGGUGUUCACGGCUGCUCUAUGCGGGUGUGUUCACACCAGCGCUUAGGAUGUUGACGAAAUGGUUUUAAACGACCCGUCUUGAAACACGGACCAAGGAGUCUAACAUAUAUGCGAGUGUUUGGGUGUUAAACUCAUACGCGUAAUGAAAGUGAAUGUAGGUGGGAUCCGCAAGGUGCACCAUCGACCGAUCUGGAUUUUUUGAUAGAUUUGAGUAUGAGCAUAUCUGUUGGGACCCGAAAGAUGGUGAACUAUGCCUGAAUAGGGUGAAGCCAGAGGAAACUCUGGUGGAGGCUCGUAGCGAUUCUGACGUGCAAAUCGAUCGUCAAAUUUGGGUAUAGGGGCGAAAGACUAAUCGAACCAUCUAGUAGCUGGUUCCCUC
rnacentral:misc_RNA from 1 species